rnacentral:tRNA from 1 species
UGAUAUGGCUCAGUAGGUAGAGCACCACCUUGGUAAGGUGGAGGUCCCGGGUUCGAAUCCCGGUAUCA